CCUACGGGGGGCAGCAGUGGGGAAUAUUGGACAAUGGGGGGAACCCUGAUCCAGCCAUGCCGCGUGUGUGAAGAAGGCCCUCGGGUUGUAAAGCACUUUCAGUGAGGAAGAACGCCUGGUGGUUAAUACCCAUCAGGAAAGACAUCACUCACAGAAGAAGCACCGGCUAACUCCGUGCCAGCAGCCGCGGUAAUACGGAGGGUGCGAGCGUUAAUCGGAAUUACUGGGCGUAAAGCGCGCGUAGGUGGCUUGAUAAGCCGGUUGUGAAAGCCCCGGGCUCAACCUGGGAACGGCAUCCGGAACUGUCAAGCUAGAGUGCAGGAGAGGAAGGUAGAAUUCCCGGUGUAGCGGUGAAAUGCGUAGAGAUCGGGAGGAAUACCAGUGGCGAAGGCGGCCAUCUGGACUGACACUGACACUGAGGUGCGAAAGCGUGGGUAGCAAACAGGAUUAGAUACCCGUGUAGUC
rnacentral:rRNA from 1 species